GAAGAGGUGAUGUUGCUCUCUUUCGUCGGCGGUGGGAGGAUUGCGGCCAUCUCGCGUUGUCAGGGCUUGUGAAGGAGAAGCGGUGGCGACGCUGCUUGUGGUGGCUGGAUAUACUGCGAUUAUAUAGCUGAUUUUUUCCCUCCCUUUCUCCCCUUCCCCCCCUCCCCUUCCCUCUUUCCCUUUCUCCCCGCUCUCAGAGGCUGGGCUGGGGUGACAUCGCGCGAUGCCGGUCCGCACCGAGUCGGCCUCGCUCAUCCCGCCGCCCCCCAUCAAUACUCAACAGCCUGGGGUCGCCACCACGCUCCUGUACAGCGGCUCCAAGUUCAGGGGGCACCAGAAGAGUAAAGGCAACUCUUAUGACGUGGAAGUGGUGCUUCAGCACGUUGACAUGGAAAACUCCUUUCUCUGUGGAUACCUAAAGAUCAAGGGGCUCACUGAGGAAUACCCAACUCUUACUACCUUCUUUGAAGGAGAAAUCAUCAGUAAAAAACAUCCAUUUUUAACAAGGAAAUGGGAUGCAGAUGAAGAUGUGGAUAGAAAACAUUGGGGGAAAUUCUUGGCAUUUUACCAAUAUGCAAAAACAUUCAACUCAGAUGAGUUUGAUUAUGAAGAGUUAAAGAACAGCGAUUUUGUCUUCAUGAGGUGGAAGUCCCGUCUACAACCGCUCCACGACGUGGAUGCCAUGCCUGCCUCUACCAGCCGAUGCACAGCAGCUUCCCUCCAUGAUUGCGACCCCGAAACACAGGACCUCAAAGUAUCCUUCGUGCGCAAAGGCUGCCAGCACAGAACAAUUUCUGGUCCCUGAUCACACAAUCAAAGACAUCAGUGGUGCUUCCUUUGCAGGCUUUUAUUAUAUUUGCUUCCAAAAGUCCACAGCUUCAAUAGAAGGCUAUUACUACCACAGGAGUUCAGAAUGGUACCAGUCUUUAAAUCUGACACACGUCCCUGAACACAGCACUCCCAUCUAUGAGUUUCGGUGACAUUCAUCAAUACAACCCUCCUCGGACAGUUGGGGAGAGGGAGUAGGCAGAUGGUGGAACUGUUCAGGAGGAAGAGAGUGAUGGACACAAAAGUGUUCUGUAACAAUGAGAACAAUUACUGUUUUCUCUGCUGCUGACAGACCAACCACAACACGAUGAGGAGCUCGAGCAUCAAUAAUCCAAUCCAAGUGCAUGACUGUUGGAGCUUGUUUUCACCGAGCAAAAGAGAACUCAUUUUAAUCUCAUUUUUAAUGCUAAUUUAAACUGCACUUACUGAUUUUUAAUUUUGGUCUCUGAUUUGUUAAGUUCUUUUUGUAGUUCUAACUUUGUUGUACAAGAACUAAUGAGCCAGUAGCACGAUGCAGUGUGCUAUUGUCUUUUGUUUUCCCCUUUUUUGCUGUUGCUGUUUUUAUACAUUGCUAAUCAAGCUUGGAUUCUUCAGAUGGUCUUUUUAAUCUACUCUACAGGUGCUGUUGCACAUGUUCUGUGCUAGGUUUUUAUGGGAGAACAGAAGUGGCCUUAUCCUAAGAGAGCAGCAGAUGUCUUAGAUAUCACAAAGCAGUAUUGGGGGCGAGGAGAAAUUAAAAUAAAAUACUCUAACUAAAUAACUGACUUCUGUAAGACUCAAGUUGUAUAGAGAAUUUCUAAAAUCAUAUAUAUAUUGGAUACCUGGCAGUGUUUUAGUAAGGCCUAUGACCUAAUUGAGAAGUUGAGGAUUAAACCAAACCCUUUGGAAGCAGUUGCCAGGCUGCAGCUUUGUAAUUUCCUGCUAAUACAUACUUCGUGUGGGGUCUGAGUUGUAUUUUUUUUUGUGUAUGUGGCAGGAGAGGAUGUUCCAUUGUUGGUGCUAACCCAGAUGUUCACAGAUGAUACUGUGUGCCUUUUGUGAUGUAAUUCCUUCGGACUUACAGAAACAUUCAACUUAACCUUACAACAGUGGGAAAUUCCAUGCACAGUAUAUUUCUCAUUUGAAGGUUGAAGCCCAUCUUGCCCCUUCCCAGAAAAGCUUUUGUGCAGAGCAUGUGCAAAGCAUUGGGUUUUCAUCUUAAGUAUACACAAAAGAUUAAUAGAAAAAAAUCAUCUUAGAUCUAGCCAUGGUUCUGACUAUUCAGUUGAUGGUGGAUGUUGCACUUAAAUAUUGGGUGGGGGAGAGGAAAAGAGGUUUCCAAAUUGGACAACCUAUUUAAUAUAAUUUUAAAAUAUAGAUGUUUAAAUGAAAUUGGUGCAAAAACAAUUUUUCUUCAGUUAUGGCUAGAUAUGCAGGAUGUUAAAACGCCCACGGAGUGACUAAUGAAAAUGUCAUGUACCUACCAUUACACUUCAGUGAAAUUCUAGUUGUGACACUGCAAGUAUUCCAAUUAAAUCUAACAUGCUUUGGGAUUUAAUGUUGCAUGAAAUGGCAAAGCUUGCAAUAUUACAGCUAGGAUUUCAAUACAACAGUGAAAUUAUCAUGCAACUCAAAAUAUGGACAUUUUAACAUCCAAUGGAGGGGGUAUCUCUUCCUCUUUUUGUGUAAAGUCAAAGAAGAAUUCUUUUAUUACAACCGUUGUAAACCAAUGACGUACAAAGGAAUGUAAUACCACCACUUGUACUAAACUUAUUGCACCAGGUUUUUUGUCCAUUGUGACUUCUAUAAAGAUAGUUAAAUCCUGAUAAAUGCUUUAUUGAUUUGCCAAGAAAGAUGUUAUGCCUGAAUCAGGAUGUAUGUCUGCUUUUGUGUGUCUGAUUGUCUGGGGGGUGUGUGUAUGUGUGUGUCCUGUGUGAAAUGGGAGUGAAUGGGAUGGAAUUUCACCCUUGGAUCAAGAUUAUGCAUAGAUUGAUGUGUUCUUUUAAUUGAAGCCCCUCCUAAAAACAUCUGAAUGGACUCUAACUUUGGAAUCCUACAUCUAAAAGUGAGGGCAGUAUUUUGCUUUAUCCUAUUGCAGUCUUUUUGAAAAAUAGGAACUUCUAAUCUCUCACAGGUCAAGAAUUCCUUUUCUUCUGAUUUUACAUAUUUUUGGAAUUCCAAUAAAUAAGCUGAAAGUCCAUUUUUAUUUAAAACAUAUGAAGAGUUGUGUAAGUGAGAGGAAGGACUGCUAACUAGGGUGAAACAGCCCAUGUACAUUGAGUUUGACCUAUUGACACUUCAAAGAGAGCAACUAACUGGUUUGAAAGUGAGUCGGUUUUAUUGUAUAAAUCAGAGCAUGGAAAUGAAUGUUUUAUUACAUUGCAUUGUUCAUGAGACAUCAGGAGCUUUAAGUUUCCGAUCUGUGGUGAAAUAAAUGAGGGUACCACAUCCAAUAAAGUUCCUUGUGAAAGAC